CAAGAAGUAGCUUACAUACAAAGCAUUUAACUUACAAUUAAAAAAUGCCCACAAUGGGCCUCCUUGA
rnacentral:tRNA from 1 species